GAUGAACGCUGACAGAAUGCUUAACACAUGCAAGUCGAUGGGGAAGUGGUGCUUGCACCAUGGCAACCAUGGCGGACGGGUGGGUAACGCGUAAGGGACUUACCUGCAGGACUGGGAUAACAGGGGGAAACUCCUGACAAGACCGGAUAAUGUCAUGGAGCUGCAUGGCUUUAUGAUGAAAGGAGACGCCUGCGGAGAGCCUUGCGUCCUAUUAGCUAGUUGGUGAGGUAAUGGCUCACCAAGGCGAAGAUAGGUAGCCGGCCUGAGAGGGUGGACGGCCACAAGGGGACUGAGAUACGGCCCUUACUCCUACGGGAGGCAGCAGUGGGGAAUAUUGGACAAUGGGGGCAACCCUGAUCCAGCAAUUCUGUGUGCACGAAGAAGGUUUUCGGAUUGUAAAGUGCUUUCAGCAGGGAAGAAGUAAGUGACGGUACCUGCAGAAGAAGCGACGGCUAAAUACGUG
rnacentral:rRNA from 1 species